rnacentral:snRNA from 1 species
GGAUGUGAGGGCGAUCUGGCUGCGACAUCUGUCACCCCAUUGAUCGCCAGGGUUGAUUCGGCUGAUCUGGCUGGCUAGGCGGGUGUCCCCUUCCUCCCUCACCGCUCCAUGUGCGUCCCUCCCGAAGCUGCGCGCUCGGUCGAAGAGGACGACCAUCCCCGCUAGAGGAGGACCGGUCUUCGGUCAAGGGUAUACGAGUAGCUGCGCUCCCCUGCUAGAACCUCCAAACAAGCUCUCAAGAACACUGAUUUUGGAGCCAGGCAGACUUGCUUUUCAAAGUUGGCCUUGCCACUUACUAGAAAUGGUAUACAGUAAGCUACUUAAGU